CCUACGGGAGACAGCAGUGAGGAAUAUUGGUCAAUGGACGAGAGUCUGAUCCAGCCAAGUAGCGUGAAGGAUGACUGCCCUAUGGGUUGUAAACUUCUUUUAUAUGGGAAUAAAAUGUUCCACGUGUGGGAUUUUGUAUGUACCAUAUGAAUAAGGAUCGGCUAACUCCGUGCCAGCAGCCGCGGUAAUACGGAGGAUCCGAGCGUUAUCCGGAUUUAUUGGGUUUAAAGGGAGCGUAGGUGGAUUGUUAAGUCAGUUGUGAAAGUUUGCGGCUCAACCGUAAAAUUGCAGUUGAAACUGGCAGUCUUGAGUACAGUAGAGGUGGGCGGAAUUCGUGGUGUAGCGGUGAAAUGCUUAGAUAUCACGAAGAACUCCGAUUGCGAAGGCAGCUCACUGGACUGCAACUGACACUGAGGCUCGAAAGUGUGGGUAUCAAACAGGAUUAGAUACCCCAGUAGUC
rnacentral:rRNA from 1 species